UCAGACUUCCCUGACUGUUCCAGAGUAACGGAAGGAAGAAUUCAGAGAAAUCAUUUAUGAGAGCCACCAAGCUCCAGCAGGAUCCUCACUCCACACCAUGUUGGUCCCCCGCCUUCUUUGCCACCUGUACCCAAGACACCAGAGGUAGCUUGACCACCCCUACUUCAAGCAUUCCAGAUCUGCUCAGGCUACUUGGACAAAUCCUCCAACAAAUUUGCCAAAUGGAAAACUAGCAUCGAAGUGUGGAGUGAGAACAAGUAACAUAGAAAGGAGCAGAGAAAUGUCACCCGAAUUAAGUUUCAAAACACAUCAGGAUCCAGUCUUCUCUGUACUUGAACAAUACAGACUUAGAAGGUCUGUUGUGUCAACCAUUGAGGAUUUUUCAGGUGGCUGUUGGCAUUUCCAGAGAUAUUCGUAAGUUAGCAAGAUUCUAC